rnacentral:rRNA from 1 species
UGGGGAAUAUUGCACAAUGGGCGCAAGCCUGAUGCAGCCAUGCCGCGUGUAUGAAGAAGGCCUUCGGGUUGUAAAGUACUUUCAGUCGGGAGGAAGGUGGUAAGGUUAAUAACCUUGGCAAUUGACGUUACCGACAGAAGAAGCACCGGCUAACUCCGUGCCAGCAGCCGCGAUAAUACGGAGGGUGCAAGCGUUAAUCGGAAUUACUGGGCGUAAAGCGCACGCAGGCGGUUGAUUGAGUCAGAUGUGAAAUCCCCGGGCUUAACCCGGGAAUUGCAUCUGAUACUGGUCAGCUAGAGUCUUGUAGAGGGGGGUAGAAUUCCAUGUGUAGCGGUGAAAUGCGUAGAGAUGUGGAGGAAUACCGGUGGCGAAGGCGGCCCCCUGGACAAAGACUGACGCUCAGGUGCGAAAGCGUGGGGAGCAAACAGG